rnacentral:lncRNA from 1 species
CUGCUGUUGACUCACAUCCUUGUUUUUCUCACGUUUCAGUGUUUACUUUUAGACAAUUAGAACAGGGCGGAUGGGCGACUCUUCCCGAGGCACCCAGGAAGUCACAGCGUCUCCAGAGCCAGGGGACCAACGUUCCCCACGGGACACCAGAGCUGAAGCUCCAGGACCUCAGAGGCCUUGUUCAACAGAUUUGUGUUGAAGAAAAAAAACUCUCGGUACUGAAUGGCGCUACUUCAGAGCCGUCACUGGAAGUAAAGGUCAUUUCUAACUCCCUUCCCCACCUGUCACCCCUUUUGACCCAAGAAAAAGCUUCCAGGGUCUCUUGCUGAUUUGCUGCUCCUCCCCAAAAUGGGCAUUUGCUGCCAUGCCACAAUGUUGGUCUGCCCAAAAGACGUUUCCCUGGGAACUUUCAGACAUGACCUAUUAGUGGUGUGCACGUGUCUGUCACCUGAGCACUGUCUGCAACACGCUAGAGCGGAACGUAGGACACGCAGAGAGAGAUGACAUGCCCUGAGCUGAGGAUCCUAACUGUGUAAAUGGCACUGAGCAGUAGUUGAGACAUUGUUUCUGCCGGCUAGAGAAAGCCCCUUUUCCCAAUUCUGCCCACCUCGUCUCUAUGUAAGUCCCCAGAAUUCCUCUGCAGAGCCCUGGACACAUGGCGCCCUUCAGGUCUGUCUACUCUAUAAUUAUGCCCUCAACCAAACCAUUCUAGCUAAGCAAAGCUAGCUCCUUAAAAGCAGUCAUCCC